UACGUAGGGUGCAAGCGUUUAAUCGGAAUUACUGGGCGUAAAGCGUGCGCAGGCGGUUCGCUAAGACAGAUGUGAAAUCCCCGGGCUUAACCUGGGAACUGCAUUUGUGACUGGCGGGCUAGAGUAUGGCAGAGGGGGGUAGAAUUCCACGUGUAGCAGUGAAAUGCGUAGAGAUGUGGAGGAAUACCGAUGGCGAAGGCAGCCCCCUGGGCCAAUACUGACGCUCAUGCACGAAAGCGUGGGGAGCAAACAGG
rnacentral:rRNA from 1 species